rnacentral:misc_RNA from 1 species
GUGAAUCAUCGAAUUUUUGAACGCAAAUUGCACUCUCCGGUUUUCCGGGGGAGUAUGCCUGUUUGGGGGUCUGUUUAAAAAAUAAUCGAGGCUGCUGCUGUGGGGGCUCUUCGUAAUUGGGGCAUCUUUCACCUUUCUGUCGUAAGCGACCUAAAUUUUUUUUUACGAUUCCUACAACCGUACC